UGGGGAAUAUUGGACAAUGGGGGCAACCCUGAUCCAGCAAUGCCGCGUGUGUGAAGAAGGUCUUCGGAUUGUAAAGCACUUUCGACGGGGACGAUGAUGACGGUACCCGUAGAAGAAGCCCCGGCUAACUUCGUGCCAGCAGCCGCGGUAAUACGAAGGGGGCUAGCGUUGCUCGGAAUGACUGGGCGUAAAGGGCGUGUAGGCGGUUUACACAGUCAGAUGUGAAAUCCCCGGGCUUAACCUGGGAGCUGCAUUUGAUACGUGUAGACUAGAGUGUGAGAGAGGGUUUGUGGAA
rnacentral:rRNA from 1 species